rnacentral:rRNA from 1 species
GGCGGCAUCCUAACACAUGCAAGUCGAACGNAACCCUUCGGGGUGAGUGGCGCACGGGUGCGUAACGCGUGGGGAACCUGCCUUUAGGUUCGGAAUAACUCAGAGAAAUUUGAGCUAAUACCGGAUAAUGUCUUCGGACCAAAGAUUUAUCGCCUUUAGAUGGGCCCGCGUUAGAUUAGAUAGUUGGUGGGGUAACGGCCUACCAAGUCGACGAUCUAUAGCUGGUCUGAGAGGAUGAUCAGCCACACUGGGACUGAGACACGGCCCAGACUCCUACGGGAGGCAGCAGUGGGGAAUAUUGGACAAUGGGCGAAAGCCUGAUCCAGCAAUGCCGCGUGAGUGAUGAANGCCUUANGGUUGUAAAGCUCUUUUACCAGGGAUGAUAAUGACAGUACCUGGAGAAUAAGCUCCGGCUAACUCCGUGCCAGCAGCCGCGGUAAUACCGAAGGAGCUAGCGUUGUUCGGAAUUUCUGGGCGUAAAGCGCGCGUAAGCGGGUAUCCCAGUCANGGGUG